rnacentral:rRNA from 1 species
GAUGAACGCUGGCGGCGUGCCUAAUACAUGCAAGUCGAGCGAACGGACGAGAAGCUUGCUUCUCUGAUGUUAGCGGCGGACGGGUGAGUAACACGUGGAUAACCUACCUAUAAGACUAGGAUAACUUCGGGAAACCGGAGCUAAUACCGGAUAAUAUUUUGAACCGCAUGGUUCAAAAGUGAAAGACGGUCUUGCUGUCACUUAUAGAUGGAUCCGCGCUGCAUUAGCUAGUUGGUAAGGUAACGGCUUACCAGGGCAACGAUGCAUAGCCGACCUGAGAGGGUGAUCGGCCACACCGGAACUGAGACACGGUCCAGACUCCUACGGGAGGCAGCAGUAGGGACUCUUCCGCAAUGGGCGAAAGCCUGACGGAGCAACGCCGCGUGAGUGAUGAAGGUCUUCGGAUCGUAAAACUCUGUUAUUAGUGAAGAACAUAUGUGUAAGUAACUGUGCACAUCUUGACGGUACCGAAUCAGAAAGCCACGGCUAACUACGU